GCCUGGGUGGCUCAGUCAGUUAAGUGUCUGACUUCGGCUCAGGUCAUGAUCUCAUGGUUCGUGGGUUCAAGCCCCACAUCAGACU
rnacentral:tRNA from 1 species